AUUGAACGCUGGCGGCAGGCCUAACACAUGCAAGUCGAGCGGAUGAAGGGAGCUUGCUCCUGGUUUCAGCGGCGGACGGGUGAGUAAUGCCUAGGAAUCUGCCUGGUAGUGGGGGAUAACGUCCGGAAACGGGCGCUAAUACCGCAUACGUCCUGAGGGAGAAAGUGGGGGAUCUUCGGACCUCACGCUAUCAGAUGAGCCUAGGUCGGAUUAGCUAGUUGGUGGGGUAAAGGCCUACCAAGGCGACGAUCCGUAACUGGUCUGAGAGGAUGAUCAGUCACACGGGGACUGAGACACGGUCCAGACUCCUACGGGAGGCAGCAGUGGGGAAUAUUGGACAAUGGGCGAAAGCCUGAUCCAGCCAUGCCGCGUGUGUGAAGAAGGUCUUCGGAUUGUAAAGCACUUUAAGUUGGGAGGAAGGGCAGUAAGUUAAUACCUUGCUGUUUUGAGGUUACCAACAGAAUAAGCACCGGCUAACUUCGUG
rnacentral:rRNA from 1 species